GCUGAAGUGGUGGAAUUGGUAGACACGUUGGACUUAAAAUCCAAUGUCCUUUGGGACGUACGGGUUCAAGUCCCGUCUUCAGUA
rnacentral:tRNA from 1 species